UGGGGUAGUGGCUCAGAGGUAGACUGCUCACCUAACAUGCGUGAGGCCCUGGGUUGGACCCUCAGCACCACAA
rnacentral:tRNA from 1 species